UAGUGGUUUACAUGGUGAACAUAAUGUUUUUGUUAUUGGUGGUGUAAAGCUUGUAAGCAAUAUAUAGGAACAUCACAAGAAAGCUAGACACGUUUUGGGGGACAAAUACAUUCGAAAUAUAGUUCACAGAAUUUGCUAAAGAUAAAACUGCUUCAUAAUUUUUUUUUAAUGUUUUACCACCAUAUCUGUUAAAUGGUUUGGUAGUGUGGGUGGGUAAAAUAGAAUAUGUUUAUCGGGGGAAGGAGUAGUAGAUACUGAAUUACGAAUUUCUUUUUUUCCAGUCAUGCUUGCAGCUUUGUGAGUCUGUCUCACAGAGAAACAGCAGAUGGAUUUAGCGUAUGAUCUGUGGCUUGAAAGAAACCAGAGUUGCUGCUACUCUGCUCUACAAGCCACAUCACCAGGGCAACAUGGCAUUUACAGGCAAAUACGAGUUUGAAGGCGAUGAGAACUAUGAUGACUUUGUGACGAAGAUUGGUCUCCCCAGUGACAAAAUUGAAAUGGGAAGGAAUUGCAAAAUAGUCACUGAGGUGGUGCAAAAUGGAAAUGACUUCACCUGGACACAGCAUUUCCCAGGAGGCCGUACCACAACCAACAUAUUCACAGUUGGCAAGGAAGCAGACAUGGAGACAAUGGGUGGUAAAAAGUUCAAGGCAACUGUAAAAAUGGAAGAUGGGAAAUUAGUAGCUGAUUUUCCCAACUAUCGCCAUACUUCAGAGAUUUCUGGAGGAAAGCUUGUGGAGAGGCUGCUCUUGGACUUAACCUGCCCCAACUCCACCCAUGAUACAACAGCACAUAUGGAACAUGGAAGUCAAUGCACAAUUCCUGCUUAGAAUGUAGUCACCAGAAGAAAGACUGAAUGUAUAGCUGUGUUCUCCUAUUCAGUCUGUCAAUCUCCUCAGGUGAUGUCAGCCUGGUACAGAAAUUUAAUGAGUAUGCUAGUGGAAGUAGGAGAAAUCACUGCAUGCCCAGAAAACUACAGACAGGAUCUGUCAUUCUGGCUCCUGAAAGACCAAGCCUCCUUGUCUGCUGGAACUGCCCUUUCAUAUGCUGCUUCUGCUUAUCUUUGACCUGUUUAUCUACUUCAGCAACUUUGCUUUGGGCUACUGAACAAUUACCACAUUGAAAUGCUAAAAGCAGCAACACACAUGUCUUGGAAAUUACUUGGCCAGCUUUGCUCAAUCUGUCGAUCAGUGUCUCUCCACAAAAAGCCUCCACAAAGUCAGACCACAGCAUUUAAAGGGAUCACCACUUAAACUCAAAACAUGAAAAAUAAGGCUUGGACUGAGAAACAGUGUUAAGGUGAAGACAAAUUUUAAGCUGGCUCCUCCUACCAGCUUCAAGACCUGACCUUCCAAAAGAAGGGAGUCAAUGUAAACAUUUUUAAGUGGUGUAGGGGACAGCAACCACAUCUGAAAGCCAGACAGGCUCCAGACAUUAGCCAUUCAUUCUCUGCAGAGACAGCUCACCACCAGUAACCUGACCACUUCAGCUGGCACAAUCCAUUACCUGAGCUUAGGAGACACGAUUUCGUCUGGUCUGGAUGGCUUUAUAACUGGACUGAGCAAAAGCACUU